rnacentral:lncRNA from 1 species
AUGUCAGACAUCUGGAGCCUAGGAAUAUGGGGAAGAAAGUGUCCAAACCAGCUCUAUACGGGUGGAUUAAGAUCUGGCAUAGCUUCCUGCUACAUCCCAGGGGGUAUCAAUGUGCAUUCCUGUAAAAGUGUGACCACUUCUGCAGCAUUUAGCAUGCAGGCCCAACUCUUGGAUAUUUGCAGGGCCAUGACUUGGAUGGCUCAGUCUUCCUUUGUAAGACUUUAUUGGUUGGAUUUAUUUGCAUCUGCAGAGGCAUCCUUUGGGUGUAGAGAGUUCUCCAACAGGUGAGGGUAAUGACCUCAUCCUGGGACUUGAUUUAUCCAGUUUAUGGCUUGGAGACAAGACUGAAGCUCCAGGUUGUCCUCACCACCAGAGGGAGCCAGGAGCUCAGAAAAGAUACGUUGCUGCCUAUCAAAGUGUGUGGGAGGGGCAACUGGCUACAAAAAUGUCCUUCGCCCCCUGCAAAAAAGAAAUGUGUUACAGCAAAUGCCAGGGUUGCUUUUGUUUCAGGUCAGUUGUUGAACAAAUGUCAGAAUUCUGUGGCCAUUCUCACUAGACCACACAAUUGUUUGAAAGUUUAUGUAAACUUACUGUUUGAUACAGUGGUGCCCCGCUUGACGAUUACCUCGUUAGAUGAGAAAAUCGCUUAACGAUGAGUAUUUUGUGAUCGCUAUAGCGAUCGCUUGAAAGUUUAUGUAAACUUACUGUUUGAUACAGUGGUGCCCCGCUUGACGAUUACCUCGUUAGAUGAGAAAAUCGCUUAACGAUGAGUAUUUUGUGAUCGCUAUAGCGAUCGCAAAACAAUGUUUGUAUGGUUUUUUUUUUCAUUUAAUGACGAUUGGUUCCCUGCUUUGGGAACCGAUUUUUCACUUAACAACGAUCAAAACAGCUGAUCGUCGGGUUUUCAAAAUGGCUGCCCACUGUGCAAAAUGGCGCCCCGCUGUGUUUUAGGACAGAUUACUCGCUAUACAGGCACCAGAAAAUGGCUGCCCUAUGGAGGAUCUUCGCUGGACGCUGAGGUAUUUCGCCCAUUGGAACGCAUUGAGCCGGUUUUCAGUGCAUUUCAAUGGGUUUUUAACUUUCGCUUGAUCACAAUUUCGUUCUACAGCGAUUUUGCUGGAAUGGAUUAUCCUCGUCAAGCGAGGCACCACUGUACUUUAAUGUAUGUUUUAUUAAAUGAUGUAAUGGUUUGUUGACUGUAAAUAAAGACUAUAGUGACAUCUUAAAGACA